rnacentral:rRNA from 1 species
GACGAACGCUGGCGGCGUGCUUAACACAUGCAAGUCGAACGGAAAGGCCCCUUCGGGGGUACUCGAGUGGCGAACGGGUGAGUAACACGUGGGUGAUCUGCCCUGCACUUCGGGAUAAGCCUGGGAAACUGGGUCUAAUACCGGAUAGGACCCCUUGGCGCAUGCCUUGGGGUGGAAAGCUUUUGCGGUGUGGGAUGGGCCCGCGGCCUAUCAGCUUGUUGGUGGGGUCACGGCCUACCAAGGCUCCGACGGGUAGCCGGCCUGAGAGGGUGUCCGGCCACACUGGGACUGAGAUACGGCCCAGACUCCUACGGGAGGCAGCAGUGGGGAAUAUUGCACAAUGGGCGCAAGCCUGAUGCAGCGACGCCGCGUGGGGGAUGACGGCCUUCGGGUUGUAAACCUCUUUCACCAUCGACGAAGGUCCGGGUUUUCUCGGAUUGACGGUAGGUGGAGAAGAAGCACCGGCCAACUACGUGCCAGCCGCCGCCGUAACAC